CUAAGCUUGACAUCCUUUUGACCGAUGCCUAAUCGCAUCUUUCCCUUCGGGGACAGAAGUGACAGGUGGUGCAUGGUUGUCGUCAGCUCGUGUCGUGAGAUGUUGGGUUAAGUCCCGCAACGAGCGCAACCCUUGCCUUUAGUUGCCAGCAUUAAGUUGGGCACUCUAGAGGGACUGCCAGGGAUAACCUGGAGGAAGGUGGGGAUGACGUCAAAUCAUCAUGCCCCUUAUGCUUAGGGCUACACACGUGCUACAAUGGGUGGUACAGAGGGCAGCCAAGUCGUGAGGCGGAGCUAAUCCCUUAAAGCCAUUCUCAGUUCGGAUUGUAGGCUGAAA
rnacentral:rRNA from 1 species